rnacentral:rRNA from 1 species
CCCUGGCUCAGAUUGAACGCUGGCGGCAGGCCUAACACAUGCAAGUCGAGCGGAUGACAGGAGCUUGCUCCUGAAUUCAGCGGCGGACGGGUGAGUAAUGCCUAGGAAUCUGCCUGGUAGUGGGGGACAACGUUUCGAAAGGAACGCUAAUACCGCAUACGUCCUACGGGAGAAAGCAGGGGACCUUCGGGCCUUGCGCUAUCAGAUGAGCCUAGGUCGGAUUAGCUAGUUGGUGGGGUAAUGGCUCACCAAGGCGACGAUCCGUAACUGGUCUGAGAGGAUGAUCAGUCACACUGGAACUGAGACACGGUCCAGACUCCUACGGGAGGCAGCAGUGGGGAAUAUUGGACAAUGGGCGAAAGCCUGAUCCAGCCAUGCCGCGUGUGUGAAGAAGGUCUUCGGAUUGUAAAGCACUUUAAGUUGGGAGGAAGGGCAGUAACUUAAUACGUUGCCGUCUUGACGUUACCGACAGAAUAAGCACCGGCUAA